CGCCUGGACUCAAGUGAUCCUCCCACCUUGGCCUCCCAAAGUGUUGGGAUUAUGGGUGUGAGCCACUGUACCUGGCACCUCCUGCAACUUCUUCCUCAAGUGGAACCAAUGAGGAAGCAAGCAACUCAGAGCUUUCACAAGUUUUGAUUUCAAUCAGCAACGGGCUUCCAAUGCAACCCUUCUCUCCUGUAACCAGCCUCAGUAGAGAGGAACUGGAGGGUCUUUUAACAUCCGAGGACCACAUUCUUUGUGCUUUCCAAAUCAUCACCUGCCCCAUGCAACUUACAGGGUAAGUUACAUUAAACAACGUAUGUAAAUGGCUUUGUGCUAGUUAUUCACCACCACAGGGGAAGUGAGUCACGGACAAGAGUGCAGCCGCUCCAUUCGGAUCCUGGCUCUGACACUUACCUGGAAAAUGACUUAACCAUUCCCAGGAUCAGCUGUUUGUCUGUAAUUUAGGUAGUUUAAUGGCACUUGUGUCCUAGAGUUGUUUAGAAGGUUGAAUAAUAUGGAGCACUUAACAUACUUAGCACCUAGAAACACUUCCUAAAUAUUAGUUGCUGCUGUUGUUAUCGUUAUUAAAAUUUCUGCCUAAGAUCUCAUUUCAGGGAGCCCAACUCAAUCUUUGACAAGCUUAAACAAAAAUUGCUUUUCUUCAUUUAUUCACUUACACAGCAAACAUGAAUUGAGCCUGUACUGUGUUUCCAGAACUGUGCAGGACCAGAGAGGCACAGGUGAAGGAAGCAAGGCUCUGGCUCUACUGGGGAAACAGCAAGAAGAUUGCUACAAUGAGGUGGGAAGAGGGCUGGACUAGAGAGAAGCCCUGAUUAGUGUCCUUGCUACCUUUCUCUGGGAGAGCCAAGGCAGGCUUCCUGGAAGAGGUGAUCCUUGGCUGAAACUUCGAUGAAGAAAAGGAAAGAGCGCAGUGGUUAGGGAGGAAAGGGCAUUCUGGGCAGAUGAAAUGACAUGUGACAAAAUAUGGGUGAUCAUGGCAUGUUAGGAAAAUAGCAGGGUGUUCAACAUGAUUGGAGCACUGUGUGUGUGUGGUGAGGGGGAGAAUUGAGGUUGUCAAGAAGUGGUUCUCAACUGAGCAUAGUUUUGCCUCAGAGGGGACAUUUGGUAAUGUCUGCAGACAUUUUUUGAUUGUCACAGCCCAGCCGAGAAGGUACUACUAGUAUCUUUUUGGUAGAGGCUAGAGAGGCUGCUAAACAUCUAACAAUGCACAGGACAGGCCUCUGUAACAAAAAAGUAUCCAGUCAAAAAUGUCCACAGUGUUGAGAGGUUUAGGUAAGUAGGCGCUAAAACAUAAGGAGACUGUGCCUGAGAGCAAGAAGGAGUAAUUGGAAAGUGCUGGUGUGAUUAGCUCUGGGUUUUAGAAAGCUCAUUUUGGCUGCUUGUAGACAGUGCAUCAGAGGUGGAGGAGGGUGGUAAGACUGGAGGCAGGGAAAGUAAUUUGGGAGCCACUGAAAUGAUCCAGGUGAAAAACGGUCAGCAGGUGACUAGGAAAGUGGCAGAGGCAAUGGGGAUGGGUGGCUGGAUGAGAUGGUGAAGAAAGCACUAUAACUAACUAAUGUGUGGAUGAUGGGCAGGAGGGGUGAAGGAUGACCAGAGUCCUGCCUUGCAGGUCUAGUUGGAAGGUGAUGGUUUCUCCUGAGAAAGUGACCACAAAAAGUGAAGCAGGUUUGUGCGUGUGUGUGUGUGUGUGUGUGUGUGUGUGUUGAGUUCAGUCUGAGAUGUGUUGGACUCACAAUGUCCAUGGGACAUCCAAGUGGAGAAGCAUCUUGGGUGACCAUAUGUGUGAGUCUGCAGCUCAGAAACAGGCCUGGGGCUGGAGAUGAAGACUUGGGAAUGAUCUGCGUAUAUAUUUGGUAGCUUGAGCCACAAGAGUAGAUGACAUAACCCGUGGUGGGUGUGCAGAAUUAGGAGAGACGUGCACCAAGAAGCCAGGUGAUCCCCAAUAUUUAACCAUCUGGAAGAAUAAGAGGAGCCUGCCAACAGAAAUUGGGAGGGAAUGGCCACAAAGGCUACUGAGAAGGGAAGCAGUUCUUAAGAAGGGGGAAGUGAAGAGGUAUCACUACUGCAGAGGUCAAGUAGGAUAAGAACUGAAGAAUGUCUGUUGGGUUUGGCAAUGGGGUAGUCAGUGGGCACCUGGGCAAAAGCAGUUUUGGUGGAGCAAUAGGGAUAACAGAAACAAGACUGCUAUGGUAAGAGGAGGAAGAGGGUGUUGAGGAAGUGGCCAGCGAGUCUACACCACUUGCUGGAGGAGCUUGGCUUUGGUGCAAAGCAGAGAAGCCAGCUCACUCAUUGACUUAACCUCCAAGAAACACAAAAUCAUCCAUAUCCUGGCUCAAAUUCCAGCACUACCAGGAGAUGGUUGGCCCCUAGAAAUGCCAUCCCACUUCUCCUCUGCUUAUCCUAUCCUAUCUGUCAGUCUGUUGAGCCCAGGCUAAGCGCUACCUCCUCAAGCAAGCCUUCUCUGCCUGCCGUCACACUUUAAGUGAUCCUGACAACACUGAAAAUGUGUGUCUCUUCCAUUCAUGUUAGUUCUACACUUCUGAGUAUCUCCUCAAUAUAUUGCCUUGUUUUACUAAUAUGCUCGUUCUGUUUGCCUUAUUUAUCAGCUACCUUAAACCUCCCUGCAACUAGAGAUUCUCUUUAAGUAUUUGUUGAAUAAAUGAAUGAAUCAAUCGAUGAUCCAGAGCCUGGUAGAGGCUUGUGUCCAUGGUGGAUGAGGCUCAGAAAAUACCUGUAGAAUCGAAAUAAAUGCAUGUGUGCUCUGAUCUAAACUCAGCUAAACUUUCUCCAGGGGGUAAAGUUCAAGUUGAUUAGUCAAUUGAUUAAUUAAUUCAUUAUGUAAUGGAAAAACUCCUUCUAUGACCUGGGCAGAGUUAUAGGCAGUGAACAAGACAGACAAGGUCCUUGUUGUCAUGAAGUUUGCUUUCUGAAGGAGAGAGAUAAUAAACAAGAAACCAGUAAGAAAGCAAGAUUAUAUCAUUUUGGUAAAUGUUCUUGUGGAAAUAAAUGUGAUGAUGUGUAACAAAAGUACCAAAUAGGAGAGUGGGGUGGGUGGGCUUCUUUUAGAAAGAGUUCUCGGAGAAGGCUUAUCUGAGGAGGUGGCCUUUUAACCAGUACAAAUGCUUUAGCUUGGCCAGUGGAGCUGGGACCAGGAUGACAAGGGUCACUUGUCAUGCCAGUGAGUUUGAGCUUGUAGACAAGAGCCUGAUCAUGAAAGACUUUGCAGAUGGUGGUAAUGGGUUUGGGUUAAUUGCUACUAUGUGGGAAGACUUUGAAUGGGAAGCAUGGGGACAAUGGCCUGUGAUACAUGUUAUCAAAUAUGGUCGCAGGGGCUAGUGAGGUGGCAGCAGAGAUAGGGAGAAGUAGACGGACUGGGGAAGGUAGAAGAUGGGGCAGGGGAGGCAAUUACUGCAAAGACAUAUUCCUUCUAAGCUCACUGAGUGUUCAUGGUCUCUGGGAGCAGAGGUUCCUGGAGGGGAAAGAGGAUAAUGUCACUUCCUGAGGAAGCGGGAAGAACCCAUCUGAGACGUGGGGACUGUGCUGGUUCGUUUCUAAGGGGCCUUCCAGAUCUCACAUGCCAAUCGUCUUGGUCUAUGUCAAUUGUUGGGGCAUCCAAAUGGGGAACUGUUGUCCAGGCCGAUUUCACAGAACAACCGCCCAGUCCAUAUCUCCCGAGCCAUUCACCCUUGCAGUGGCGUUAGCUCUUUCACCAGCUUUUAUCUGCCCCGUGGGGAUGUUGGCCAAGCCCAGUUAACAAGCAGUUGAUCAGCCCCAGAGAUCAGGUCCCUGGAGUCUGUCACUUUUCUGAGGGUGGGGAGAGAAUCCUGGAGCAGAACAUGUAACUAGAAGGGCCACCUGGCUUCCUAUGGUCUGAGGGAGAGAAUGGUGGGAUCUCUGGCCUGAAUCAAACCUCCCUUUCUCAGUGUCCAUCUUACCUCUCUGCUGUACCUUCGUUAUUUUCCAGCAGCUCCUCAGCCCGUUCCUGUGGGACCCUUCUCUGCCAAUCCCUACACCCACUGUAAAUUUCACCGUGGGAGGGAGAUGGGCCUUGAGGGCUGUAUUAGUCUUCUAUUCUGCAUAACAAAUUGCCUCAAAUUUAGCAGCUUCAAACAACUCAUGUUUAUUAGCUCAUCGUGAGUUCAUCAGCAGUGUGGGCCCAGCAUGGCUAGGUUUUCUGCUCAGGGUCUCACAAGGCUAAAAUCAAGAUGUUGUCUGGGCUGUGUGCUCAUCUGGAGUUUAGGGUUCUCUUCCAGGCUCACGUGGUUGUGGCAGAAUUCUGUUCCCUGGAGUUGCAGGGCUGAGGUCCUGUUUUCUUGCUGACUGUCAGAUGAGGGCUGCUCUCAGGUCCUCGAGGCUGCCCACAUUGCUUGCCACGUGCGUGGUCUUUUCCAUCCUUGAAGCCAGUGAUGGAGAAUUUCCCUUGGAUUGAAUCACCCACAUGGUUGGACUCUCUGACUUCAGGAAGAGAGCCCUGUCUCUUUUAUGGGAUCACCUGAUUAGAUCAUACCCAUAGAGGGCAGUUCCUUUUCCUUAAAGUCAACUGUGGCAUGUAACAUCACACAACCACAGGAGUAAAAUCCAUCAUAUUUACAGUCCCAGGGAUUAUGCACAGUGCACCAGGGGACAACUGAAUUCUGCCUGUCAAAAGGGCCAAGCAGGACUUUAUUGGUGAAGAACAGUGGAAUGUCAUUCUUGGUUCUUCCAGAAAAAAAUCACUCAGUAAAGUUAGAGGUUCUCUUGCCUUUUGGGAAGUCAUCAAAGAAUCUCAUGGAGGGUUUGGACCUUCACCCUAGAAACAUCACACCAUGUUUUCUAUAAUUGCAGGGUUCAUGGUCCCUUGAAGCCUAUUCAUAGUUUCCAGGUUGAAAAGCUCUGCUGCAGGGUGUGGGGAGGGAUGCAGGUGGAGGUGAGGGCUGAAUAGUGUGAGCUGCAUAUCUGGAGCUGUGGUGGUUUUUUUAGUCUUUAAGCUGUCAUGUGUUGGGGGUUGGGCAUGGGAGGGGCAUCCCAAGAGCUCCUUGGUAUUGACACCAUCUCCAAGGUGAUCUCUGCUCUGCCUGGUGCACACAUGUUUUUCUCCUGUUGCAACAGCCCACUCUUGUAGAAGAGCAGACCCCUCAGUACCAGGUCUGACCCUGGACAGCUUGUACCAGGAGCUACAGCACACUCCCCCACAAGCCUAAAGUUGGGAUGAGCCCCCCGAGAAUUAGAUCAGAAAAGAUUAAAUGCAGAGGUGAUCUGUCAGGUCCCCUUUGGAAGUGCUGGUAUGGAGAGGAUUGACUGAGUCUGUUUAGGAACCUCCAAGCUCUGUAGUAACUUUAGGGCUAGAAAGGAGGAUGCCUAAGAUUCAGGAUCCUGCAGUGAUGAGUCAACAUUUCUUGGGGAAGGAGGCAGGGCUGAGGAUUAAACGGAGAUGAUGGGUAUCGUUCUCUUGCUCAAAGGCACUGGACCCCAAGGCCUCCAGCUCUUCGCUCCCAUUUGAAAUUCAAGUCCUGAGCACACCACAGUUGUGAUGCAGGGAAAGAAUGUGCUUAUCAGAGAGCCUGGGCAAGUGGGCCCCUUGUGAGUACCGUUCAACCUCAUUUAUGUCAUUGGCACCAAAAGUAGACAUCAGUCUCUUGAAAGUUUGAUUAAUGCUGGUCACACUCAAAGACCCUGGGUAGCAUUCAUUUACUAAGCAAUUACUAAAUACCAGUUUCUGUGCUAAAUGCUGCAUCAGUCAGGGCUCUUAAUGGCAGGCAGCAGAAACUCUCCUUGGCUGAUCUAAGUAGAAAAAUCCAGGACUGAAAGGAAACGGAGUAGCUCAUGAAAUUGCAGGAAGGGCCGGAAAACCAGACAUGGAGCCAAAGUCAGGCUGCAGAACAGGUCUAGGGAGGAUCCCACUGCUGCUGAGACCUAGACCUUGUGUCUGGCACCCAGGAUGUUGUAGGGCUCAGACCCUGGAUCAAUGUAUCCUGCAGUGCCUCUGUGGGUACUGCAACUCCAGGAACUCAAUCUUGUCAACGCCACCGCCAGAGAGAGGCCUUCUUGGCCUCCAUCUUUUUGGUCACUAGCUCCAGAUUCAAAAUCUUGAAUAGAUGCUUCUUCUCUUUGAUAGAGCCCAGUCAUAUGCGUUAGCUGCAAAGGAAGCUGAAAAUCUAUUAGGAACUUUUGUCUUCAAAAAUGAGAGGCCUGUCCUCCACCAAGAUCCAUAGGAAAUGGAAUCCAAGAAACCACAGGAAGGGGUGAGGUGACUGGGCAGCUCACAGCAUGCAUGCUACAUGUGAAUUAUCUCAUUCAUUUCUCACACUACCCAGUGAGGUAGGUAUUGUCAUCCCUACUUCAUAAAUGAUGAUAUGAGGUACAGAAAGUUUAAGGAACUUGCCCAGGACACGACACGCAGCUAUUAAGUGCUAGACCCAGUCAAUUUGAGUCUGACUUGGACUGUCUGACUCCAGAAGCCACCCUCUCAGACACUGCUGUAUACUUCCAGUGAAUGUUGAUGAAAUUUUCAGGGUUGCUAAGCUGUGGAUUUCAGAUCCUGGAUUGUAUGACCUAAAAGAGAGACUUCCCUAGGAGUGAGGGUCCCUGAACAGUCAACUGGUUUCCAAGAAUGGGCUCCCUCUCAUCACCUUAUGACAGUAAUCCUCUGUCCAACAGCCAAAGAGGUCCUGUGGGGAGGGCUUGCAGAUGGGAGUGCGCAGAGCCCAGCUCAAAGCUCCUGACUAGGCUCUUGUUGAGUAUUCCUUUGAUUCCUGCUUCUGUCUUUUUAAAUCAAUGGAGACAGGGGAGGGUUAUCUCCAU
rnacentral:lncRNA from 1 species